UACGGGGGGGGCAAGCGUUGUUCGGAAUUACUGGGCGUAAAGGGCUCGUAGGCGGCCAACUAAGUCCGACGUGAAAUCCCCAGGCUUAACCUGGGAACUGCGUCGGAUACUGGAUGGCUUGAAUCCGGGAGAGGGAUGCGGAAUUCCAGGUGUAGCGGUGAAAUGCGUAGAUAUCUGGAGGAACACCGGUGGCGAAGGCGGGUCUCUGGGCCACUACUGACGCUGAGAAGCGAAAGCAUGGGGAGCGAACAGG
rnacentral:rRNA from 1 species